AUUGAACGCUGGCGGCAGGCCUAACACAUGCAAGUCGAGCGAGCGGCGGACGGGUGAGUAAUGCCUGGGAAUUGCCCAGUCGAGGGGGAUAACAGUUGGAAACGACUGCUAAUACCGCAUACGACUGGCUUGCCCAGGGGUGAUUAGCUAGUUGGUGAGGUAAUGGCUCAGCAAGGCGACGAUCCCUAGCGGGUCUGAGAGGAUGAUCAGCCAAACGGGAACUGAGACACGGUCAAGACGCCUACGGGAGGCAGCAGUGGGGAAUAUUGGACAAUGGGGGAAAGCCUGAUGGAGCCAUGCCGCGUGAGUGAAGAAGGCCUUCGGGUUGUAAAGCACUGUCAGCGAGGAGGCGGUACUCACAGAAGAAGCACCGGCUAACUCCGUGCCAGCAGCCGCGGUAAUAC
rnacentral:rRNA from 1 species